rnacentral:rRNA from 1 species
CCGGCACGUUGUCUUCUGGCUAACGGGAAGUGCUUUUAGCAUUGCUACAAGGACCCUGGCAAACAGUACUCUUUAAGUUUGACCUCAAAUCAGGUAGGAAUACCCGCUGAACUUAAGCAUAUCAAUAAGCGGAGGAAAAGAAACCAACCGGGAUUGCCUCAGUAACGGCGAGUGAAGCGGCAAAAGCUCAAAUUUGAAAUCUGGUACCUUCGGUGCCCGAGUUGUAAUUUGUAGAGGGCGACUUUGGGGCGGCUCCUUGUCUAUGUUCCUUGGAACAGGACGUCAUAGAGGGUGAGAAUCCCGUGUGGCGAGGAGUGCGGUUCCGUGUAAAGCGCUCUCGAAGAGUCGAGUUGUUUGGGAAUGCAGCUCUAAGUGGGUGGUAAAUUCCAUCUAAAGCUAAAUAUUGGCGAGAGACCGAUAGCGAACAAGUACAGUGAUGGAAAGAUGAAAAGAACUUUGAAAAGAGAGUGAAAAAGUACGUGAAAUUGUUGAAAGGGAAGGGCAUUUGAUCAGACAUGGUGUUUUGCGCCCCUCGCUCCUUGUGGGUGGGGGACUCUCGCAGCUCACUGGGCCAGCAUCAGUUUUGGCGGUCGGACAAAACCAGGGGAACGUAGCUUGCUUCGGGAAGUGUUAUAGCCCUUGGGAAUA